UCCAUUCUCUUGUGACUGAUGGUGCUCUUCGCUGCGAUGCGAGCUUUCCAUGAGCAAUACCCAACUUGUGCCCUAGCUAGGUUAAUAGACAACCACUGUUUCCAGUUUUAGCUGUAGCCUUUGGUACAGCUUCCGCUAAAACUAGACCCCUUUUUAGCAUAACCCUACGCCAGGAGUUAUAAGUUGCCAGGAGCUCCUAAAUGGAGCUCUUUGCAUAGUAAUGAGUCGUUGAUGAAUAGCGCUCAACUCUUGCCUUGACCCUCAAAAAGGACUUUUCACUUGGUGUACAGCUGUAUUCCGUAUUCUCUAUUGCAAUCGAUCCCUAACUUGUCACUGGUCCCGUGUAGGGAAAUCAGCAUGGGUGUAAUUCGUGGUGCCAGAGUUUUUCAUGAACCCGUUUCGGACAUGGAGGUGAAGGAAGAAUGCCCGCUUUCCAAUAUGACAGAAAGUCCAGAUAACUCGCGCCUUGCGCUCGAUAUCUUGGUGUUAGAAGAAUUAAAAAAUCGUCAGCAGUUAAGACGACAACGAAGGGCAGAAUUAGUUGUGGCCUCGAGCACUGGAACUUCGCUUGUAAUAAGACUUCGAGCUACCUGUGACGAUGUUGAAGGGCUUAACUCGCAUCUUGUCGUCCACAAUGAGCUGCGCAAACGAAAAUGCAUACAGAACGACAAACAGCUCUACGCCCUCUGCCAUUCGGAGGAUGAUUUAGAACACACUUUAUUGAAGAUUCGCUGCCCGGUUUCGCACUCCUGCUUUCCGAAAAGGACAACAUUACACUGUGGGAUGUCAUGCUAUGCAAGCAGCUGAAGCUUAUGAUGAAGAUACGUGCAAUGACGUUAGUUUUGGAUGUGAAGCUGUUGGAAGACGAGGAGCACAAAAACCGAAAAAAAUUUAUUACGCCUUUCAGAGCAUCCUGCUGCGAAUAUAACUGAAGAUUGUUAGCACAGAUCAGACGACGAUACGAGGCAAGCCUUACGUAAGUAGUGCUGCCCUAUCGACAUAAUCAGGACCAUCGGAGGGCAGCUCGAAAUCUUUUUUACAGCAUGGAUCGUAACGGUCAUCGUCAAAAUCUUCAUUCAAAAUUCAUAUUAUUCUCUUUGGCACUAUCAGCCUACCUCAAGUCUCGCCGAAGUGCCUCAUCGACAACGAAAAAUGGUUCUCAUCGGCAUCGAGCAUCUCGUCAUUAUCAUUUACAUUAACAAACAAAUCGCGUCACUGACAAGUGAAAACCAAUCCGACGAGACAAAAACCUCUAUGACUAUGUCACAUCUUGAUUUCUUUAAGCGACGUAGCAAGUUGCAUAUCAUUCGAGUUAUGUAAGAAUCUAUAAAUACAUUCGGGCGAGUUAUGACAGAACAACAACGUUACAAAGCAGGAUCGCAUGCUGACUCUACGUUAUGACGUCAUCCUAAAUUCAACAUGGAAUUAUUCUACCUGACGGUCUUGUUAGCAGCGAACGGCUCAGCCACAUUAAGCGCUGGAAAAGCCAAGCAGAUGGAAUUGCAACCUUGAAAGCAUCUUAUUUGAGAUUAUGUAAAUCCAUACCUGGUGACAGUU